rnacentral:rRNA from 1 species
ACGCUAGCUACAGGCUUAACACAUGCAAGUCGAGGGGAAACGGCAUUUAGUGCUUGCACCGAAUGGACGUCGACCGGCGCACGGGUGAGUAACGCGUAUCCAACCUACCCAUUACUGUGGGAUAACCUGCCGAAAGGCAGACUAAUACCGCAUAGUCUUCGAUGACGGCAUCAGAUUUGAAGUAAAGAUUUAUCGGUAAUGGAUGGGGAUGCGUCUGAUUAGCUUGUUGGCGGGGUAACGGCCCACCAAGGCGACGAUCAGUAGGGGUUCUGAGAGGAAGGUCCCCCACAUUGGAACUGAGACACGGUCCAAACUCCUACGGGAGGCAGCAGUGAGGAAUAUUGGUCAAUGGGCGCGAGCCUGAACCAGCCAAGUAGCGUGCAGGAUGACGGCCCUAUGGGUUGUAAACUGCUUUUGUAUGGGGAUAAAGUCAAUCACGUGUGAUUGUUUGCAGGUACCAUACGAGUAAGGACCGGCUAAUUCCGUGCCAGCAGCCGCGGUAAUACGGAAGGUCCGGGCGUUAUCCGGAUUUAUUGGGUUUAAAGGGAGCGUAGGCCGGAGAUUAAGUGUGUUGUGAAAUGUAGACGCUCAACGUCUGACUUGCAGCGCAUACUGGUUUCCUUGAGUACGCACAACGUUGGCGGAAUUCGUCGUGUAGCGGUGAAAUGCUUAGAUAUGACGAAGAACUCCGAUUGCGAAGGCAGCUGACGGGAGCGCAACUGACGCUUAAGCUCGAAGGUGCGGGUAUCGAACAGGAUUAGAUACCCUGGUAGUCCGCACAGUAAACGAUGGAUGCCCGCUGUUGGUACCUGGUAUCAGCGGCUAAGCGAAAGCAUUAAGCAUCCCACCUGGGGAGUACGCCGGCAACGGUGAAACUCAAAGGAAUUGACGGGGGCCCGCACAAGCGGAGGAACAUGUGGUUUAA